rnacentral:rRNA from 1 species
UACGUAGGGUGCGAGCGUUGUCCGGAAUUAUUGGGCGUAAAGAGCUUGUAGGCGGUCUGUCGCGUCUGCUGUGAAAAUCCGGGGCUCAACCCCGGACUUGCAGUGGGUACGGGCAGACUAGAGUGUGGUAGGGGAGACUGGAAUUCCUGGUGUAGCGGUGAAAUGCGCAGAUAUCAGGAAGAACACCAAUGGCGAAAGCAGCUCUCUGGGACGGUACUGACGCUGAGACGCGAAAGCGUGGGGAGCGAACAGG